AUGCCCCCACGUGCUGGUGUGUGUGCCGGGUGUGCACGUGAGUCCCCCCACCCCCACCCCCACCCCCACCACGCGGUGCUGACCCCUGUCCUUUCUGAUUCCCCCAGGGCCUCACGGGAGAGGACGGCCAGUCCUACUUCGUGGACUUCGGCAGCACCGAGUGCUCCUGCCCGCCGGGCGGUGGCAAGAUCAGCUGCCAGUUCAUGCCCUGCCCGGAGCUGCCGCCCAACUGCAUCGAGGCCGUGGUGGCGGCCGACAGCUGCCCACAGUGCGGCCAGGUGGGCUGCGUCCACUCCGGCCGCAAGUACGCCGCCGGCCACACUGUCCGCCUGGCGCCCUGCCGGGCCUGCCACUGCCCCGACGCGGGCGGCGAGCUCAUCUGCUACCCGCUGCCCAGCUGCCACGGAGAUGCCACCCCCGGAAACACCUCGGACGCCGAGGAGGGCGACCCUGAGCGGCACUACGAGGACCCCUACAGCUACGACCAGGAGGUGGCCGGGUCAGCCACCUUCAGCCCUCCAGGCCACUCUCUGGCCGGCCGCCCUCCCCAGGCCCACGGCAGCCGCCGCUCUGGGUCCCCCGGCCCCCGUGCAGGCCAAAGCCAGGAGAGUGACGGACAACGGUCAGGAAGACAGGGAGGCGCCGGCCAUCCGGGAGCAGCUGGCCGCAGGCGGCCCCCGGGGGCUGGAUGGACGGCCCACGGCAGGCCCGAUGCCGGCUCACCCUGUCCGGGAGGAGGGGGCCGAGGCCAGGGCCGGGGUGGAAGAGAACCUCAUCCCCGACGUGCAGGCCACGCACCGCAGUGCCGGGCCCCCUCCCACGCUCAGCGUGCCCAGCAUCCUCCUGACCGAGACCACGCAGGGCCCCCCCACAGACCCCACCGAGCCCAGUGCCCCUGCCGCCCUGACCACACUUCAGCGGGAGAUCCCCCGCGCCCCGCCCACCCAGGAAGUGCCCCAGCAGCCGGCCGGGCCCCGGUCCCGGCUGGAGGAGGAGGAGGACCCCAACUCCGUGCACUCUGUCCCGAGAGGCGGCCUGGAAGUGUCCACGAAGGACCUGAUCGAGACGUGCUGCGCAGCCGGGCAGCAGUGGGCCAUCGACAGCGACGAGUGCCUGGACAUCCCCGAGAGCAGCGCCGAGGGCGACGUGUGCAGGACGGCCCAGAAGCACUGCUGCGUGUCCUACUUGAAGGAGAAGAGCUGCAUGGCUGGCGUGCUGGGCGCCAAGGAGGGCGAGGCCUGCGGGGACGAGGACAACGACACCUGCGGCGUCUCCCUGUACAAGCAAUGCUGUGACUGCUGCGGCCUGGGGCUCCGCGUGCGGGCUGAGGGCCAGUCCUGUGAGUCCAACCCCAACCUCGGCUACCCCUGCAACCACGUCAUGCUCUCCUGCUGUGAGGGUGAAGACCCCCUCAUUGUGCCCGAGGUCCGCCGGCCUCCAGAGCCUGAGGCCGCACCACGGAGAGUUUCAGAGGCAGAGUUGGCGAGCCGGGAGGCCCUGUCGCUGGGCACGGAGACCGAGCUGCCCAACAGCCUGCCGGGCGACGACCAGGACGAGUGCCUGCUCCUCCCGGGGGAGCUGUGCCAGCACCUGUGCAUCAACACGGUGGGCUCCUACCGCUGCGCCUGCUUCCCCGGCUUCUCGCUGCAGGAUGACGGCCGCACCUGCCGCCCAGAUGGCGGCCCCUCCAAGCCGGAGGCCACAGAGGAGUCUGCGCAGAGGCCCGAGUCCUCCCAGGAGGCCCCCAACACCAUCUCAUUGUCCGUGCCGCAUCCCAACAUCUGCCAAGACAACGGGCCCUGCAAGCAGGUCUGCAGGGUCGUCGGGGACGCGGCCGUGUGCUCCUGCUUGCCCGGCUUUGCCAUCAUGGCGGACGGCGUGUCCUGUGAAGACCAAGAUGAGUGCCUGCUGGGCGCUCACGAUUGUAACCGGCGACAGUUCUGUGUGAACACCCUGGGAUCCUUCUACUGUGUCAACCACACAGUGGUCUGUGCUGAGGGCUUUAUCCUCAAUAUGCACAGGAAGUGCGUGGACAUCAACGAGUGCGUGACAGACCUGCACACGUGCAGCCGCGGCGAGCACUGUGUGAACACGGUGGGCUCCUUCAUCUGCUACAGCGCCCUGAGCUGCCAGCCAGGGUACAAGGUCGAGGAGGGCCGGUGUACAGAUGUGGACGAGUGUGAGCUGGGCACACACAACUGCCCGGCGGGCGCCGUGUGCCGCAACACCGAGGGCUCCUUUCACUGCCAGGCUCGGGAGCGCUGCCUGGAGGGCUUCCUGCAGGACCCCGAGGGCAACUGCGUGGACAUCAAUGAGUGCACGUCUCUCUCCGAGCCGUGUCGGUCCGGCUUCAACUGCAUCAACACGGUGGGCUCCUACACGUGCAGACGGAGCCUGGUGAUCUGUGGACGUGGCUACCACGCCAGCGAGGACGGGACCAAGUGUGUGGACGUGAACGAGUGUGAGACGGGUGUGCACCGCUGCGGCGAAGGCCAGACGUGCCACAACCUCCCCGGCUCCUACCGCUGCGACUGCAAGCCUGGCUUCCAGCGGGACGCCUUCGGCCGCGCCUGCAUCGACGUGAACGAGUGCUGGACAUCACCCACGCGUGUCUGCCAGCACACGUGCGAGAACACGCUGGGCUCCUACCGCUGUUCCUGCGCCUCCGGCUUCCUGCUGGCGGCCGACGGCAAGCACUGUGAAGAUGUGAACGAGUGUGAGGCCCAGCGCUGCAGCCAGGAAUGCGCCAACAUCUACGGCUCCUACCAGUGCUACUGCAGGCACGGCUACCAGCUGGCCGAGGACGGGCACACCUGCACAGACAUUGACGAGUGCACCCAGGGCGCCGGUGUCCUCUGCACCUUCCAGUGCAUCAACGUGCCAGGGAGCUACCAGUGUGCAUGCCCGGAGCCCGGCUACACCAUUACGGCCAACGGCAGGUCCUGCAAGGACCUGGACGAGUGCGUGCUGGGCACCCACAACUGCUCCGAGGGUGAGACCUGCCAUAACGUCAAGGGCGGCUUCCGCUGCCUGCGCUUCGACUGCCCUCCGAACUACGUCCGAGUCUCCGAAAUGAAAUGCGAGCGCACGCAGUGCCACGACUUCCUGGAGUGCCAGAACGCGCCCGCGCGCAUCACGCACUACCUGCUCAACUUCCAGACCGGGCUGCUGGUGCCCGCGCACAUCUUCCGCAUCAGCCCCGCGCCCGUCUUCGCCGGCGACACCAUCGCGCUGACCAUCACCAGGGGCAACGAGGAGGGCUACUUCGGCACGCGCCGCCUCAACGCCUACACGGGCGUGGUCUUCCUGCAGCGCGCCGUGCGCGAGCCGCGCGACUUCGCGCUGGACGUGGAGAUGAAGCUCUGGCGGCAGGGCUCCGUCACCACCUUCCUGGCCAAGAUGCACAUCUUCUUCACCACCUUCGCCCUGUGAGGCGGCGCCCGCCGUGGGCAGCGCGUGGAGCCCGGGUCCCCCCGCUGGUCCGGCGCCCUGGCCGCGCGCCCGCCUCCACGCUCCCGCCGGCCGCGUGGGGGACCGGCGCUGUGGCCG
rnacentral:lncRNA from 1 species